GACGAACGCUGGCGGCGUGCCUAAUACAUGCAAGUCGAACGCUGAAGGAGGAGCUUGCUUCUCUGGAUGAGUUGCGAACGGGUGAGUAACGCGUAGGUAACCUGCCUGGUAGCGGGGGAUAACUAUUGGAAACGAUAGCUAAUACCGCAUAAUAGUAGAUGUUGCAUGACAUUUGCUUAAAAGGUGCAAUUGCAUCACUACCAGAUGGACCUGCGUUGUAUUAGCUAGUUGGUGGGGUAACGGCUCACCAAGGCGACGAUACAUAGCCGACCUGAGAGGGUGGUCGGCCACACUGGGACUGAGACACGGCCCAGACUCCUACGGGAGGCAGCAGUAGGGAAUCUUCGGCAAUGGACGGAAGUCUGACCGAGCAACGCCGCGUGAGUGAAGAAGGUUUUCGGAUCGUAAAGCUCUGUUGUAAGAGAAGAAAGAGUGUGAGAGUGGAAAGUUCACACUGUGACGGUAUCUUACCAGAAAGGGACGGCUAACUACGUG
rnacentral:rRNA from 1 species